UUAAAUUGAAGAGUUUGAUCAUGGCUCAGAUUGAACGCUGGCGGCAGGCCUAACACAUGCAAGUCGAACGGUAACAGGAAGCAGCUUGCUGUUUCGCUGA
rnacentral:rRNA from 4 species